rnacentral:rRNA from 1 species
CGCGUAGGCGGUCCUGUGCGUCAGAGGUGAAAUCCCCGGGCUUAACCCGGGACCUGCCUCUGAUACGGCAUGGCUUGAGUCCGGGAGAGGGGAGCAGAAUUCCCAGUGUAGCGGUGAAAUGCGUAGAUAUUGGGAGGAAUACCGGUGGCGAAGGCGGCUCCCUGGACCGGUACUGACGCUGAGGCGCGAAAGCGUGGGUAGCAAACAGGAUUAGAUACCCUGGUAGUCCACGCCGUAAACGAUGGGUGCUUGGUGUCGGGGGUAUCGACCCCUCCGGUGCCGAAGCUAACGCAUUAAGCACCCCGCCUGGGGAGUACGGUCGCAAGGCUGAA